GCGAAGUUUAUUCGAUUAUACACCGUAGCAGUCCGUGUAAUACAAAUUUGGAUUUUUAAACGUUGGGUUUAUGAAAUGUAUGGGUAAUGCAUUUCUAUACCUACUUAAUGUUUGAUACUCAAAUUAAGCCCAAGAAUGCUUCUAAAAGAAAAAUAGUUGGAUGGAAAAAGCCUAAAAAACGGUUCAUAACGGACAAGCUAAGGAUUGUGUCAAGACUAGUAUAA